GCAUCAAUGGGGUAGCGGUAACCUGGGUCGUUGCCAUCACGAGACUGCCAACCCGCUGGGGGCUCGAUUCCCUCUUGAUGCA